CUCCGUCCGUACUUCCUUGUAACUGGAGCUGCGACUAUAGAUGCAACAAAACCAGAAAUGUAUAAAGUAGAGGUAAAUGCAGAAAUGCCCUGAUUGUUAUACUUGCAAUAGUUAUUUUCAUGUGCUUCCAGUUUAUGUUUGUACACUGCAGGGAAGAAAAUCUGAAGAAAGUCAUCCAUGGAAGCAACUCCUCCUGUUAACAAUGUCACAUGUGUAAAUUUUCUGAUAAUAAAUAAAUGACUAUAAAGAUUCUGAUAAAAGGAGAGAUCAAAUGUGUAUGUAAAUUUGUGGACUGUAGGGAACUGUAGGAGAUUCGGCUGCAAUGAAUCUAAAUCCGAUAAAGUCCCGGUUUGAUUAAUAGGGAGGGGAGAUUUCUAUGAAUUUCGUUAGGUGUCAGAUCAUCAUAAUAGAUUAUACCAAUGUCUUUGUCCCAAAGGCAAGAGUUGUGUCAAAGUCAAAAUAGUAGAUAUCAUGGAAUUUAUGAGAUUCAUUUUUCUUUCCUUAUUCUCUCAUCAAAUCAAGUCUUAUAUAUCAGUGAAAUUCAAUCCAUCCGUCCCCUUUCAGCUUACAAAUACGGCUUUGUCUAAUGUGCACAAGUAAAUAAGUAUUGCACCACUUGCUUGAGGUUUUGCUGCGGUGCCGACUUGCUUGGUUUCGGCCUGAUUUUUGUGGUGGCAGAUUCCGGCUUCUUAGGGGUUUGGUUUAUUUUCACUGAUUUCCUUUUGUUUGUGUUGGAGCGUAUUUUUUUUGUUUUGCUCAGUUUGUAGGGGCCUUGGUUUUGGUUGUAUAGGUGGAUCCUUGCCCUUUGUUUUUGAGGGGCUUUAUGCUCUGUGCUGUAAGGUGUUUUCUCUCCUUUUUCUUGCUCCUUCAAAUACUUCUUGUAUUGAAGGAAGCUUAAUAAAUUUGCUGAUUCAAAAAAAAAAAAAAAGUAUUGCACCAUCUACAAGUUUGUUUUUCACCGUUAAAUCAAUAUGUCUCAUCGUAUCUCGUUUGAACUUAUUGUGAGA
rnacentral:lncRNA from 1 species